CGGAGUGUUUUUGAACAAAGGUGAGAUCUUUUGCAGCUACGCCACGUUUCUGAGAGCUCGAACAGGAAAAAAAAAAUGGCGUCGAACGCAGCGGUGCCGUUCUGGAGAGCAGCGGGGAUGACUUAUAUCACGUACUCGAACCUGUGCGCAAACAUGGUGAGGAACUGCCUCAAGGAUCCUUACAAGUCUGAAGCUUUGAGCAGAGAGAAGGUCCACUUCUCCAUCUCCAAGUGGAUCGAUGGAAAAGCGGAGAAGCCUGCUAUCCGCUCGGACACUCCUGAAGCAUGAUAUUGAUCUUGGGUGCUCUGGGCUCGAGUGUUCGCCUUUGAAUUCCGCUGGCAUUCUUAUAACAUGCUCCGCUCCCUCGCACACGAGAGGCUGGAAAUAAUGUAGGUGAUGAAGUUGUUGGCGAGGGCCGGGGAUCUUGAUUUUGUUGACAAAUAAUUGGAUCAUAAUAGUUUUACUGGCAAUUGUGUCCAUAGAACAUUGUGUUUGAUUCAUUGGAGUUAUUGUUUUCUCCAUCUGUGAUUGAAGCACAAAUGAAAGUGCCAUAACAUACCCUUUUGGUGUUGGCCUGGGGAUCUCCUUUUUGUUGACAAACAAUUGGAUUUAGUGGCAAUUAUGUCCAUGUAAUAAUGUUUUUGAUUCAUUAGUGUUAUUGUUUUCUCCA